UAAAGGCUUACCAAGGCGACGAUCUGUAGCGGGUCUGAGAGGAUGAUCCGCCACACUGGAACUGAGACACGGUCCAGACUCCUACGGGAGGCAGCAGUGGGGAAUUUUGGACAAUGGGCGCAAGCCUGAUCCAGCCAUGCCGCGUGAGUGAAGAAGGCCUUCGGGUUGUAAAGCUCUUUCGGCCGGGAAGAAAUCGCAUGGGUUAAUACCCUGUGUGGAUGACGGUACCGGAAUAAGAAGCACCGGCUAACUACGUG
rnacentral:rRNA from 1 species